rnacentral:rRNA from 1 species
GAGUUUGAUCAUGGCUCAGGACGAACGCUGGCGGCGUGCCUAACACAUGCAAGUUGAGCGGAGAUAUAUGGAGCUUGCUUUAUAUAACUUAGCAGCGAACGGGUGAGUAACACGUAGAUAAUCUAUCCUAUACUGGGGGAUAGCCCGAUGAAAGUUGGAUUAAUACCGCAUAUAGCUAUAUAGUUGCAUGAUUAUGUAGUGAAAGAUUUAUUGGUAUAGGAGGAGUCUGCGGCACAUUAGCUAGUAGGUGAGGUAAAGGCUUACCUAGGCGACGAUGUGUAGCCGGUCUGAGAGGAUGAACGGCCACAAUGGAACUGAGACACGGUCCAUACUCCUACGGGAGGCAGCAGUGGGGAAUAUUGCACCUGGGGGAAACCCUGAUGCAGCANCGCCGCGUGAGUGAAGAAGGUUUUCGGAUUGUAAAGCUCUGUUAGCAGGGAAGAGGAAGGAUGGUACCUGCAGAGGAAGCCACGGCUAACUACGUGCCAGCAGCCGCGGUAAUACGUAGGUGGCAAGCGUUGUUCGGAAUAACUGGGCGUAAAGGAUGCGUAGGCGGUUAAACAAGUUAUAUGUUAAAUAUAUAGGCUUAACCUGUAGAAAGCAUAUAAAACUGUUUAACUAGAGUGCAGGAGAGGUAAGUGGAAUUCCUAGUGUAGCGGUGAAAUGCGUAGAGAUUAGGAAGAACACCAGUGGCGAAGGCGACUUACUGGACUGUAACUGACGCUGAGGCAUGAGAGCAUGGGGAGCAAACAGGAUUAGAUACCCUGGUAGUCCAUGCUGUAAACGAUGGGUACUAGGUGUGGGUUGUGAAUAACAAUUCGUGCCGUCGCAAACGCAAUAAGUACCCCGCCUGAGGAGUACGAUCGCAAGAUUAAAACUCAAAGGAAUUGACGGGGACCCGCACAAGCAGCGGAGCAUGUGGUUUAAUUCGAAGCAACGCGAAGAACCUUACCUAAACUUGACAUACCUUGAAUUACCUUGUAAUGAGGGAAGCUCGCAAGAGCAAGGAUACAGGUGGUGCAUGGUUGUCGUCAGCUCGUGUCGUGAGAUGUUGGGUUAAGUCCCGCAACGAGCGCAACCCUUGUUGUUAAUUGCUAACAGGUUAAGCUGAGCACUUUAGCGAGACAGCCUAGGUUAACUAGGAGGAAGGUGGGGAUGACGUCAAAUCAUCAUGCCCCUUACGUUUAGGGCUACACACGUGCUACAAUGGUGAGAACAGAGAGAAGCAAGCUAGUGAUAGUGAGCAAAACUUAUAAAACUCAUCUCAGUUCGGAUUGCAGGCUGAAACUCGCCUGUAUGAAGAUGGAGUUGCUAGUAAUCGCGAAUCAGAAUGUCGCGGUGAAUACGUUCCCGGGUCUUGUACACACCGCCCGUCACACCAUGAGGGUUGGCAACACCCGAAACCUGUGGGCUAACCAUAUAGGAGGCAGCAGUCUAAGGUGGGGUCAGUCAUUGGGGUGAAGUCGUAACAAGGUAGCCG